UUAUAUAGAAACAUAGACCUAUGGAACAAAAUAAAGAGCCAAGAAAUACGUCUAAACAUAUAUGGUCAAGUAAUUUUCAACAAGGGCACCAAGAGAAAACAAUGGGAAAAAGAUAUUUGCUUCA